UGAAGGGCGCUAAUAGGUGCGCAGCUGGCAGUCUGGCCAAAUUCUCUGUGCUUAGACCCCAUGCAUAAAUAAACACAGAGGCAUUCGUUUUCAGAAUUUAUAGAGCCCAAUGUGUUUGCUGAACUUUACAGACCUCUGCUGCUCAAUGGAACAUGAAUGGAAGAAAGGGCUCCAUUGUGCCUGUGCAUAGCACUUGGGUUCAGCCAGGUGUGAACAGGCACCGGGUCUUUGGCUUCCAAUUAACUGAGCAGAACUUUCUUCGACCCAGGGAGCUCCUGCCUCUGUCAACAUCAAAUAACACAGGCACUUUCAAUUUGGAAGAUGUUGGAGGUCUAAUCAGCAACUGAGAGAUCUCAACGCUUUGAGUCUCUAAGUCAUGAGACUACUGUGUAACACUGAGGUCUUUGCCUAAUAAGGAAUACCA